rnacentral:misc_RNA from 1 species
GAUGAAUCUCCGACCGUAGCGUAGCCUUCGCUGCCCUUUUAUCCAAUGAUGUUUAGCAAUCGAAAGGACCGGUCAAACGAACUGAUUCGUUUCCUAGUCUCCGAUCGAUUUCGUACCGUCAUUGUAGAGGGAAUUCUCUCUUUCCGCUACUAACUGCAAAGGCACUCGAGAGAGUAGGACUGACCACCUCACGUUUGGGGUUCCGUUGGUAAUACGCCCUCUAUGAUUCCCAAAUCCCCUCACGCCAACGCAGGAGUUGGAGGGUACACCCAUGCAUAUGUUUAGCUCUUGGCUUCGGUUCCCUACUGUCUAAUCUCCUAGGCCUCUCAGCUGACGUCCGAAGAAUCGAUGGUCCCUCCAAUUACUUAUGGAACCCCUUUGUUCGUAUCACUCAUCGGCUCCGCUUAGGUCCCUCUCGAUUCUCCCCGGAUUGGAGGAUCACCUUUGACCUGCCCGAACUGCUAAUAUAGCUAGUCUGCGUGCCGAUCGUUUCCCAGAGGUAGGAGCGGUCCCCUUUCGGGAGAGAAAGUGAGUCACUGCUGUCCAACUUAACCGGGCGAUUCCGACAGCGUCCCUUGGCCUGGUCACCUAUUAGAACACACGAUCCAUGUCUCACUUUGAUCUCACACCCUCAUUCUCGUUUGAAUUUUGGAGCUCGACCUUCGUUGCUCGGAUGCGCUUGACUGAAGAGUCCUCGACAGGUCAUUAGCCAGAAAGUUCCAAAGGGAGAACAAGUCUGAGACUCACUCGGCUAUAUCCUCCUCAGGACCUGCCCGACAUGCUGUUGACUUGGAGAUGAAUUCUCCGGCCGUACCUUCUGCGGUCGUUACGCUUGGUCGGUCAUGUUGGGACCAAAGAAAAGUGGAAGCUUCAACCGUGUCGAUGGCAUUAUAACUAAAGAAGUACGCGACCUCCAAAAUCAACAUCUACAUCCCGUCGCUACGCUUUCAGUCCUUUCAAUGUUCAUCUUCCGGUGAUCAGCGCUCUUGUUCACGAAGCCAACCGAGUUGCUCAUGGGAAGGAGCAUGUGAGGGAGAAGGACCAUUAUUCGUCU